rnacentral:rRNA from 1 species
CGAGUGAGCGGCAGAGCUCAGAUUUGAAAUCUCACCUAGUGUGCGAGUUGUAAAUUGCAGGUUGGAGUCUCGGGUUAGACGUGUGUGCAAGUCCCUUGGAACAGGGUGCCACUGAGGGUGAGAGCCCCGUAGCGUGCAUGUCGACACCUGUGAGGCCCUUCUGACGAGUCGAGUUGUUUGGGAAUGCAGCUCUAAGUGGGUGGUAAAUUCCAUCUAAGGCUAAAUAUUGGCGAGAGACCGAUAGCGAACAAGUACUGUGAAGGAAAGAUGAAAAGCACUUUGAAAAGAGAGUGAAACAGCACGUGAAAUUGUUGAAAGGGAAGGGUAUUGGGCUCGACAUGGGAUUUACGCAUCGUUGCCUCUCGUGGGCGGCGCUCUGGGUUUUUCCUGGGCCAGCAUCGGUUUUCGUUGCAGGAUAAGGACAAUUGGAAUGUGGCUCCUCGGAGUGUUAUAGCCUUUUGUAGAUGCUGCGUAUGGGGACCGAGGGCUGCGGCGGACUCGUUUCGUCUCGGAUGCUGGCACAACGGCGCAAUACCGCCC